ACUGAUGGACUCAACGAGUUUAUAACCUGGGCCGAAAGGUUCGGGUAAUCUUUUGAAAAUUCAUCGUGAUGGGGAUAGAUCAUUGCAAUUAUCGAUGAUU
rnacentral:ncRNA from 1 species